ACCAACAGGGAUUGCCUCAGUAACGGCGAGUGAAGCGGCAACAGCUCAAAUUUGAAAUCUGGCCUCCUUGGGGGUCCGAGUUGUAAUUUGUAGAGGAUGCUUCGGCGUGGGCCCCGGUCUAAGUUCCUUGGAACAGGACGUCACAGAGGGUGAGAAUCCCGUACGUGGCCGUGGGUGCUCGCCAUGUGAAGCUCCUUCGACGAGUCGAGUUGUUUGGGAAUGCAGCUCUAAAUGGGAGGUAUAUUUCUUCUAAAGCUAAAUAUUGGCCAGAGACCGAUAGCGCACAAGUAGAGUGAUCGAAAGAUGAAAAGCACUUUGGAAAGAGAGUCAAAAAGUACGUGAAAUUGUUGAAAGGGAAGCGCUUGCAACCAGACCUGUCUGCAGUUGCUCAUCCGGGCUUCUGCCCGGUGCACUCUUCUGCAGUCAGGCCAGCAUCAGUUCUGGCGGUCGGAUAAAGGCGGUGGGAAUGUGGCUCCUCUCGGGGAGUGUUAUAGCCCAUCGUGCAAUGCGGCCAGCUGGGACUGAGGUCCGCGCUUCGGCUAGGAUGCUGGCGUAAUGGUUGUAAGCGGCCCGUCUUGAAACACGGACCAAGGAGUCUAACAUCUGUGCGAGUGUUUGGGUGUCAAGCCCAGGCGCGUAAUGAAAGUGAACGGAGGCGGGAACCUUCGGGUGCACCGUCGACCGAUCCUGAUGUCUUCGGAUGGAUUUGAGUAAGAGCAUAGCUGUUGGGACCCGAAAGAUGGUGAACUAUGCCUGAAUAGGGUGAAGCCAGAGGAAACUCUGGUGGAGGCUCGCAGCGGUUCUGACGUGCAAAUCGAUCGUCAAAUUUGGGCAUAGGG
rnacentral:rRNA from 1 species